rnacentral:rRNA from 1 species
AGCGCAGACUUCGAGUGCUGGCAACUUUUGACAACUUGGCCUCAAAUCAGGUAGGACUACCCACUGAACUUAAGCAUAUCAAUAAGUGGAGGAAAAGAAACUAACAAGGAUUCCCCUAGUAACGGCGAGUGAAGCGGGAAGAGCUCAAAUUUAAAAUCUGGCAGGCUACGCUUGUCCGAAUUGUAAUCUCGAGAAGUGUUUUCCGCGUUGGCCUGUGUACAAGUCCCUUGGAACAGGGCGUCAUAGAGGGUGAGAAUCCCGUCCUUGACACAGACACCCAAUGCUUUGUGAUACACUCUCAAUGAGUCGAGUUGUUUGGGAAUGCAGCUCAAAAUGGGUGGUAAAUUCCAUCUAAAGCUAAAUACUGGCGAGAGACCGAUAGCGAACAAGUACCGUGAGGGAAAGAUGAAAAGCACUUUGGAAAGAGAGUCAAACAGUACGUGAAAUUGUUGAAAGGGAAACGAUUGAAGUCAGUCGUGCCUGCCUAGUCUCAGCCUUUUGGUGUACUACUAGGUCGGCAGGUCAGCAUCAGUUUGGGAGGAUUAACAAGGGAGCUAGGAAUGUGGCAACCUCGGUUGUGUUAUAGCCUAGUUUCGCAUUGAUCUUGCUGGACUGAGGAACGCAGUGCGCCCGCAAGGGUUGGUCUUCGGACACAU